UAUUGCACAAUGAGGGAAACCUUGAUGCAGCCAUGCCGCGUGUGUGAAGAAGGCCCGAGGGUUGUAAAGCACUUUCAAUUGUGAGGAAAGGUUAGUUGCUAAUAACAGCUAACUGUGACGUUAACUUUAGAAGAAGCACCGGCUAACUCUGUGCCAGCAGCCGCGGUAAUACAGAGGGUGCCAAGCGUUAUUCGGAAUUACUGGGCGUAAAGCGCGCGUAGGCGGACUGUUAAGUCGGUUGUGAAAGCCCUGGGCUCAACCUAGGAAUUGCAUCCGAUACUGGCAAUCUAGAGUUUAGGAGAGGGAAGUGGAAUUCCUGGUGUAGCAGUGAAAUGCGUAGAUAUCAGGAGGAACAUCAGUGGCGAAGGCGACUUCCUGGCCUAAAACUGACGCUGAGGUGCGAAAGCUUGGGUAGCGAACGGGAUUAGAUACCCCGGUAGUCCAAGCCGUAAACGAUGUCAACUAGCUGGUUGGCCUUAUUAAAAAGGUUAGUAGCGUAGCUAACGCACUAAGUUGACCGCCUGGGGAGUACGGUCGCAAGAUUA
rnacentral:rRNA from 1 species